rfam:Delta proteobacterium ML8_D scaffold_33, whole genome shotgun sequence.
AGGAGCCCGGUGAGCUGAGAGGUUCACGCCGGGUUCUCGGAGGGACUGGGGGUGAAACUCCCCCGGUCUACUCAAC